rnacentral:miRNA from 1 species
AGUAGAGAUGGGGUUUCACCAUGUUGGUCAGGCUGGUCUUGAACUCCUGACCUCGGGUGAUCCA